ACACACCACCCACACACACCACCACGCCCUGUCCCCUUUCUCCACCCUGCAAGCUAGUUGCAUUUACCUCACAGAGCCUGGGCUGCGACUUGAAAGACUUUAGGCAGCAACAGAGUGACCCUGGGGGUGCUCUUGACCGACAGCCGCACCUCCGGCGUCUAGGACCUCCGAGCAGGGAUGCAUCUGGGGGUCUAGGGAAGCACUUCCACCCCCUCCUCUCCUCAACCCUGGCAGGAUGUGCCCGAAAUGCCAGCUCCUCCUUGGUGUUCUCCUUUCAAGAUUUGAAUUCAAAUCCCAUAUUGGCAGCCCUGAUACCGCUGGGGGAAGGGUGAGGCUACCGCUGCUUCAAGACAGUGACGUUUCUCUCCGGUCAGCUGUCAGGAGCGCUGAUGAGCUUCCUACUGUGCCACAAGCUGGGUCUUACUGGGGAUCUGGCCAGCCUUGGGGACCCUUGGGGCCCUGGCCCAGUGGAAGCUUGUGCCUGAGGAACAUGGAGGCCACGCCAAUGACGGAGUCUCACUCUGUCACCCAGGCUGGAGUACAGUGA
rnacentral:sRNA from 1 species